rnacentral:rRNA from 1 species
GGGAUAACAGUUAGAAAUGACUGCUAAUACCGCAUAAGACCACAGCACCGCAUGGUGCAGGGGUAAAAACUCCGGUGGUAUGAGAUGGACCCGCGUCUGAUUAGCUAGUUGGUAAGGUAACGGCUUACCAAGGGCGACGAUCAGUAGCCGACCUGAGAGGGUGACCGGCCACAUUGGGACUGAGACACGGCCCAAACUCCUACGGGAGGCAGCAGUGGGGAAUAUUGCACAAUGGGGGAAACCCUGAUGCAGCGACGCCGCGUGAGCGAAGAAGUAUUUCGGUAUGUAAAGCUCUAUCAGCAGGGAAGAAAAUGACGGUACCUGACUAAGAAGCACCGGCUAAAUACGUGCCAGCAGCCGCGGUAAUACGUAUGGUGCAAGCGUUAUCCGGAUUUACUGGGUGUAACGGGAGCGUAGACGGAUGGGCAAGUCUGAUG